GAUGAACGCUGGCGGCGUGCCUAAUACAUGCGAGUCGAGCGAAAAGACGAGGAGUUUGCGCGGCGGACGUGAGCGGCGGAGGGGUGAAUAACACGAGGAAAACCUACCUGUAAGACGGGGAUAACUACGGAAAAGGGGAGCUAAUACGGGAGAAGAUAUUGAAGCGCAGUGGGGGAUAGUGAGAGACGGCGGUUGGGGCGGGUAUCGAUGGAUACGAGCCUGAUGGUGGGGUAGGGGCUUAACAAGGCUAGGAAGGGUAGGCGGCGUGAGAGGGGGACCGGCCACAUUGGGACUGAGAUACGGCCCAGACUCCUACGGGAGGCAGCAGUGGGGAAUAUUGCACAAUGGGCGGAAGCCUGAUGCAGCAACGCCGCGUGCGGGAUGACGGCCUUCGGGUUGUAAACCGCUUUCGCCUGUGACGAAGCGUGAGUGACGGUAAUGGGUAAAGAAGCACCGGCUAACUACGUG
rnacentral:rRNA from 1 species